ensembl:lincRNA 2310069B03Rik RIKEN cDNA 2310069B03 gene
CUCACUCUUCUAACCUUCACCAGUUUAGGUCCACUGGAAAGGCCACCGGAGCAGGCUCGGUGGGUCCUGCAGACCUGCAGCGCAGACAGGAUAAUCGACGGGCAUGGUGGCACACACUUUUGGUCCCAGCACUCUGGAGGCUGAAGCUGAGGAUCUAUGAAUGCUCAUAUUCAUAAGGCAGAGAUGAGCCCCAACUCAAGACGCCGUACAGAAGUUGCAGUGGUUAACAUUGAAAUCGGAACUGUGUAAAGUGCAAAGAGUGAGCGUCAGUGGAGUGAGUGCCCAGGCACAGAUUGGUCCUCUCUACAGCACACACUCCCACCAGGCUUUGGGACCAUAGCACACAGUGGAAGAGCGAAGGGAAAGAUUGUAAGCCAGAUGUCGAGAAAAACUGGAGUGACAUCGUCUCCCGGAUAUGGAAUAUGGUAGAAUCAUCGUGCUCACGAGCUCACAGUGCCCCGUAAUUGCCUUCACAAGACCUGUACAAGACCCAGCCUGUCAAUAAUUCCUGCAUGGAAUUUAAGGCAUUCAUGAGCCCCCGCCCCUAACUGAGGAGCUGUGGACAGUUACUAGCUUAUGAGAUAAGUUGGGGGGGGGGAAGAGUUUUCUUUAAGACUGUGGUUUCCCAGUUGGUUGACCAUGCUCCAGUGGAUAGCCCCACACCCAGAAGUAUGUGGGCAGCACAAAUCGGACCCCAUGGAUUAUUUAAAACCCACAGAAGACAGGGAGUAUAUGGGCUAACCUGAGAGGGGUAGGGAGAAGAGUGGAGAGUGGAUAUGACCAAAAUAUUCUGUAUAAAACUGUCAAGGAAUUAAUUAUAAUCUAUAUCCCUGUAUAAAGGAAUCUUUAUCUAUAUCCAUGUCCAUAUCUAUAUAAAGGAAUAGUCCAGGUGGAGGAGGUGGCUCCUUGCUUAAGCUUGCACUGCAGUCUCCCCAGGCAGUUCACAAUUGCCUAUGACUUCAGCUACAGAGGAUUUGACAUCCUCUUCUGCUCUCUUUGUGGGCAUUUACAUGUAUGUGCACACACAGAGAGACACAUGUAUGUACUCAUUUUUAAAAAAAUCUUUAAAAGGAAUAAUCUGAAUUAUAAGCCUUGAGAAGGUAAGGGCCACCAUGUUCAAUUAAUCCCAGAUAUAUCAAUAACAUGAUCAAUUAAAAGUUGUUUAACAGACGAGUAUCAAAAUGUGAUGUCAGGGAAUGUAUGUGUGUAUGUGUGUGUGUGUACGUAACCAGAGUACAUUAUGUACAUAUAUGAAAUUGUCUGAGCAGGAAGUUAGUUAAUAGAUUAUAUAAAACUGGGACUUCAUUGAUGAGAAACAAGAAAGAAAUACUUGAAGAAUAUUUUGUAAUGGAAAAAUUGUAAGCAUAACCAAGUGCAAUGAACUUGCUUCAAAGUCACACCUUUCUGAUAAUUGUUACUGCACAGCUAAUCUGUGUCACCUCCUCCUUACCUGCCCCACCCCCAGGACUCUGAAGUAGUCAUUACAUCUGUAAAUAUUUCCACAAGUAUCUCCAAUAUGAAAAUCUAUGGGUCCACAAGAUGGCUCGGCAGGUAGCAGGGCUUGCAGUCAAGCCUGAUGACCUGAGUUCGAUCCUCAGGAGCCACCUUAGAACUCUAUUAGAACCUUUUAUAGCAUAUUUACACUGGGACCCAGAGAGAGCUCACCCAUUGUGAUUCCUCAAGACACAGGUCACCCUCUCAUUACCUUUAAACUUGCUUGAUUUUUCUUUCCUAAGACACCGUCUGGAUUUUCCUGAUACUACCCCACAGUGUGUAUUGAGCAAGCUUUUCUGUUGUGCGUGUCCAAUAAACGAGUAGUUUUGUCUUUGGUC